rnacentral:rRNA from 1 species
UACGGAGGAUGCAGGCGUUAUCCGGAUUUAUUAGGUUUAAAGGGUGCGCAGGCGGCACACUAAGUCAGUGGUGAAAGUUUGCAGCUUAACUGUAAAAUUGCCAUUGAUACUGGUAUGCUUGAAUAUGGUAGAGGUAGGCGGAAUGUGUAGUGUAGCGGUGAAAUGCUUAGAUAUUACACAGAACACCCAUUGCGAAGGCAGCUUACUAUGCCAUUAUUGACGCUGAGGCACGAAAGCGUGGGGAGCGAACAGG